AAUGAACGUUGGCGGCGUGGAUUAGGCAUGCAAGUCGAGCGAAAACCCCGCAAGGGGGGACAGCGGCGAAAGGGACAGUAAUGUGUAGAUUAUCUGCCCUCAGGUCCGGGAUAGCUGCGGGAAACUGCAGGUAAUACCGGAUAACAUCUCCGGAUCAAAGGUGUGAUUCCGCCUGAGGAUGAGUCUGCAUCCUAUUAGCUAGUUGGUGGGGUAAUGGCCUACCAAGGCAUUGAUGGGUAGCAGGUGUGAGAGCACGACCUGCGUCAUUGGGACUGAGACACUGCCCAGACACCUACGGGUGGCUGCAGGCGAGAAUCUUCGGCAAUGGGCGCAAGCCUGACCGAGCGACGCCGCGUGUGGGAUGAAGGCCGUCGGGUUGUAAACCACUGUCAGAGGGGAUGAAAUGCAGGUGGGUUCUCCCAUCUGUUUGACAUAGCCUCAGAGGAAGGACGGGCUAAGUUCGUG
rnacentral:rRNA from 1 species